GAGAUCUAUAAACAUUUAUAGUUUGAAGAGGGCGCGAGCAAAUAUUCUAAUGGUAGCCCCAGAGUUUUAAUACUUUAGCUUUGAUUCUACGAGAAAUGUACCCAAUUCAGGUGUCUUGCAUCAUCACCUACAUCAUAUGUAUCUAUGUUAACUCUUCUGUCGCAGUUCAGACCUUUCUUUGUCCUUGUUGUAAUUGGCAAGAUUUAGGAUCUCUUGGAAUUUUUCUAAGAUGGAACGAACCAGCUAGGUCAUAUUACAAUGGAAUGUGGGCAAAUUCAUUUGGAUCUUAAUGAAAGAAGCAUAAGCAAUAGAUUGUUCUAUCAACAACAUCAGCGGAGGCAGCACGUGCAUGCAUCGCGCCAAUCCGAACUACGCCAGGCUCCGCAAUCGAUAACUAUAUGGAAUUGAUUUUUGUAUCUAUUGCUCUCGCUGAUGGAAAUUAAUGUUUGAUGUCUCAAAGAGGCUAUACCUGAACAAGGUGGAACGGUGGGCAAUUGUUUUUAACAUAUCAGCUUUAUUAUACAGAAGAUGCCCCUCGCCGUCACAGUACGGUACGUAGCGUUAUUAAAAGUUCUAACCCCCCACAGCAACGUCUCGUGUUCACAGACAAAGCAGACUAUAGUUAGCAGAAGCGCGGGAAUCCACAGGAUAUAACACAGGGUGUGCUUUUAUUAGAUGUUAUUGUUUCUUUUUUUCUGCGCCGAGGAGUAUGGCAUUAGAUUAAUGAAUGCAAUCGUCUGCAAGAGAACAUGAUUUGAAACGUUGACGUCAUAACGUGUUUUUUGAGACAAGUUCUGCAACAAUGAAUAUGACAACACAAAUGGUGUUUACAGAUUCUCAGGACGGAAUGACAAAAAGAGAAGAGAACAUGACCAUCGUGCUCGGAAUAAUGGCGCCAAUAUUCGUGGUGGUUGUGAUGCUUGUAAUUUUGUUGUUUUCUUUUUACAAUUUUCACAAACGAUUGCAUCACAAAAAGAAACAUCACAUAGAUUACAUCAGAGCAAACCUGCCAUUGAAGCGUCCAAGAAUUUCUCCGCCCAAUAUGAACACGUUCAAUGCGUUAGACUGGAAAUCGCGUGUGACACCUGGUUCAAAGGAAACGAAAUCUUUUUCAAAACUUUCAUAUUCAAGCGUUGCUAACGAGGAUGUUUCUGACGCUGACACCGGGAACCCGGAUGUUUAUGGUGCGAGUACUGAAGAAGAAGAUUGUAGGGUGACGAUAACAGAUAACCUUGACCUCAUGAGUUCAAAGGUCAAGAAGUCAUAUGGUUCUCGAUGGAAGUCUAAUGACAAAUUCGACAAGUAUUUCUUUGAACUAGUUCCAACAAUUUGUCAACCAGAGUCGGAUUAUCUUCCAGGUGACGAAUUAUUUGGAAAAUACCUCAACACGUGAUGUUUGUUUUAAAAAUCUAAAUUCAAUUAUUGAACCAAUACUUCAGAGAUCAUUCAAGGAAAACCGAUCACGUUCAAAUUCGUUGGUUCAGUCCGAAAUGCGUCAUUUGCAAUUUUGUCCCUAGUCUGACUGAAUGACUGAACUAUGCUUCGAAUAUUUGCAUCUUUGACAACAUGUUUGUAGUGGUGGAAGAAGAAAAAAACAUGAAUAGAAUACAAAUUAAACCAUCUAGAGAGGCCAGAGUUAUGACGUUCCACGCAGAUGAGAUUACCAAAAAAAACAUUGAUGGGAUCUAUUGUUAAGACUAGCUUCGUUAGCUUGAAUUAUAUUAAAAUGAUUCAUGUUUAAUCAUGAAGGAAACUAAGGAUUGUUUUUCCUUUGCGGUAACUUAUCAAAGUGAAUAAUAAGGAAUGAUCCUAUGAUAUUAUACUGCUUAAAUACAGAAAGUUGCAUUGCAAUUUGUCUAAUGAUUGACGUCAUAAGUGAAGAGAAAGGUCUUCAAAUGUCGGCGGCCGUGGGUCUAGCUACCACUUCAUAGGAACUCGGCCAGUUUGAAGGUUUCAUUUAGAGGUUCUUAGUAUCGACUGCUUCUCUAAUGAACACAUGCAUUUCUACGCAUUGGGACUUUUAAAAUAGCUUAAAAACCACUAUAAAUUCACCAAUAAACUUCUCACAAUAAUCAUCUUGGCAUAGUAAAACUCACUUGUAUUAUGUUAAAUAAUCACUGGUUUAUUUCCAUAACCUAGAGUUAUAAGAUUCAUCAAAAUUGUAUUUGGCAAGAGACGGUCAAAUACAUGUAGCUAUAGAUCUAAAAUGUCACCGCCAUAGAUCAUCUGUUUUAUGUCGUUUUUAACCGGAUUUUCCAAAGGAAAAAUCCGGUUAUUGAAAUGUUGAAAAUGGCGGGCGGCUGUCAAAAGGGUAUACCCCUAUUGUACGGACAACUCCUCCUACAGUUUUCAAGAUAGGACGUUGAUUUCAAGAUAGGACUUUUAUUUCAAGAUAGGACACUGAUGUUUUGCUGAUCAAUUUUGCAUAUAUCAGAGAUGUGCAUACUACUUGGAUUUUCAUUCUUGAUAAUUCAAAAAAUAAAUUAAAAGCUUUUGAA